UGCGUAGGCGGCGCUGUAAGUCAGAAGUGAAAGCCCUCGGCUCAACCGAGGAAUUGCUUUUGAAACUACAGUGCUUGAGUCUCGGAGAGGUUGGCGGAAUUCCAGGUGUAGGAGUGAAAUCCGUAGAUAUCUGGAGGAACACCAGUGGCGAAGGCGGCCAACUGGACGAGUACUGACGCUGAGGUACGAAAGCGUGGGGAGCAAACA
rnacentral:rRNA from 1 species